rfam:Puccinia graminis f. sp. tritici CRL 75-36-700-3 supercont2.26 genomic scaffold, whole genome shotgun sequence.
GGUCGAUUAGCUUAGUCGGUAGAGCGUGGUACUAAUACUUCGAGGGACUUCCUCUCCAUGGUUACAUGCCAAGGUCGUGGGUUCGAUCCCCACAUUGACCA